rnacentral:rRNA from 1 species
GAUGAACGAUGGCGGCGUGCCUAAUACAUGCAAGUCGAGCGAACAGAUGAGGAGCUUGCUCCUCUGACGUUAGCGGCGGACGGGUGAGUAACACGUGGAUAACCUACCUAUAAGACUGGGAUAACUUCGGGAAACCGGAGCUAAUACCGGAUAAUAUAUUGAACCGCAUGGUUCAAUAGUGAAAGACGGUUUUGCUGUCACUUAUAGAUGGAUCCGCGCCGCAUUAGCUAGUUGGUAAGGUAACGGCUUACCAAGGCAACGAUGCGUAGCCGACCUGAGAGGGUGAUCGGCCACACUGGAACUGAGACACGGUCCAGACUCCUACGGGAGGCAGCAGUAGGGAAUCUUCCGCAAUGGGCGAAAGCCUGACGGAGCAACGCCGCGUGAGUGAUGAAGGUCUUCGGAUCGUAAAACUCUGUUAUUAGGGAAGAACAAAUGUGUAAGUAACUAUGCACGUCUUGACGGUACCUAAUCAGAAAGCCACGGCUAACUACGUG